UCAGGCCUAACACAUGCAAGUCGAGCGGGGUUUUCGAACAAAACGGCGGACGGGUGAGUAAUGCGUAGGAAGCUGCCCGAUAGAGGGGGAUACCAGUUGGAAACGACUGUUAAUACCGCAUAAUGUCUACGGACCAAAGUGUGGGACGUUCGGGCCACAUGCUAUCGGAUGCGCCUACGUGGGAUUAGCUAGUUGGUGGGGUAAUGGCUCACCAAGGCGACGAUCUCUAGCUGGUUUGAGAGGAUGAUCAGCCGCACUGGAAGGGGGACACGGUCCAGACUCCUACGGGAGGCAGCAGUGGGGAAUAUUG
rnacentral:rRNA from 1 species